rnacentral:lncRNA from 1 species
CAAUGUCUAUGACAGUGGGUCAGUCUUCAGCCCUGAGGUUCUUGACCUCACCGAGGAAGACCUGAUGGACAAGUUUGCAUCUGGUGUUUCCAUGGUUGCCUCACUGUCCCUGGCGAUCUCAUACCCCACCAUGGCUGCUGCGCCUCACAUGUUCCUCAACGCAUACAAGAAUGUUCUUGCGGUUGCUUUGGAGACAGACUACUCAUAUGACCAUGCUGAUAAGAUCAAGGAGUACCUCAAGGUAAUUCUUGUUCUACAAUGUUUUGUUCCCACUAUGAAAUCUUAAUUUGAAACAUGCAUUAGAAGUUGUCUUGAACAAUGGCAUGAACUUUCUGUUUUAUUUAGUUUAGAGUCAUGUGUUGAGCUACUUAUCAGGAUGUCAUCUGUUCUUUUCUAACCAAUUCUGGAGCUUAAAAAGUGAUAUUUUUGGAUUGUGUUAGCCUCUAAUUGUCCCCUUAGUGUAAUCUUUCAGUGUGUGAGAUUUGUUUUUAGUAGUCAUCAUGGUAUAAUACAUGACAUGCCAUCUCUGAUCUGGCAGAUGUUUCAUCAUAUUCAUGAGCAACUUCAUCAUUGUUAGCUAAGCUAGUCAUGUUCACAUGGUUCUUCCUACCACAGCUUAAUUCUGAAUCAUGCAUUUCCAUGUCAGUUUUUGACACAU